rnacentral:rRNA from 1 species
AACGAACGCUGGCGGCAUGCCUAACACAUGCAAGUCGAACGAGACCUUCGGGUCUAGUGGCGCACGGGUGCGUAACGCGUGGGAAUCUGCCCUUGGGUCUGGAAUAACAGUUAGAAAUGACUGCUAAUACCGGAUGAUGACUUCGGUCCAAAGAUUUAUCGCCCAGGGAUGAGCCCGCGUCGGAUUAGCUAGUUGGUGGGGUAAAAGCUCACCAAGGCGACGAUCCGUAGCUGGUCUGAGAGGAUGAUCAGCCACACUGGGACUGAGACACGGCCCAGACUCCGACGGGAGGCAGCAGUGGGGAAUAUUGGACAAUGGGCGAAAGCCUGAUCCAGCAAUGCCGCGUGAGUGAUGAAGGCCUUAGGGUUGUAAAGCUCUUUUACCCGGGAUGAUAAUGACAGUACCGGGAGAAUAAGCCCCGGCUAACUCCGUGCCAGCCGCCGCCGUAAAAC